rnacentral:rRNA from 1 species
AUUGAACGCUGGCGGCAGGCCUAACACAUGCAAGUCGAGCGAGCGGCGGACGGGUGCGUAAUGUAUGGGGACUGCCCGAUAGAGGGGGAUAACUACUGGAAACGGUAGCUACUACCGCAUACUAUCGGAUAACCCAUAUGGGAUUAGCUAGUAGGUGUGGUAAUGGCUCACCUAGGCGACGAUCCCUAUCUGGUCUGAGAGGAUGAUCAGCCACACUGGGACUGAGACACGGCCCAGACUCCUAGGGAGGCAGCAGUGGGGAAUAUUGCACAAUGGGCGAAAGCCUGGUGCAGCCAUGCCGCGUGUAUGAAGAAGGCCCUAGGGUUGUAAAGUACUUUCAGUAGGGAGGCGGUACCGACAGAAGAAGCACCGGCUAACGCCGUGCCAGCAGCCGCGGUAAUAC